GGGACACCUUCCAUAGGUGCUCCUUCCAGGGUGCUCCAAGCCUUGUCCAGCCUGGCCUUGGACACUCCCAGGGAUGGAGUUGGUGCCAUGGGAGGAAUCUCCCUCUGUGCAUAACAAUUAAUUUUGGAGAUUUCAGGGAAUAAUACGUUGGAAAAGCUGCUGUCCAGUCCAGGGGCUGGAAUUUUGCUCCAAGGUGGCAGGGUGAGGUUUUCUCCCUCUGAACCUGAUGCAGGAGAGAUGGAAAACUCCUGGAGAGCCGUGACAGGAGCCCAGGGCAGGAUGGAGGGAUGGACCAGGAUGGAAAGGAGGAGGAUCAGGAGCCUUCGUGUCCCUCCUGAUCCCUUGUAAUCCCCAUUUUCCCGACCACUCAACCAGGAGCCAGGGUUGGUUACUUGUGUUUUUCCAGCUGCCAAGUCCAUUUUUCCUGCCUGGAUCACAUUCAGGACACUCCUUUCCUGGAGCUGAACCAGAUUUCAGGGAAGUUGUGUAACCCCAUAAAUGUUUAACGAGGGAAAGGAGAAGGAAAGGCCACAGGGAAGCAAAGACCAGGCUGGGAUCCAUCCCCUGCCCUGAGCAGGGAGGUUUGGGGUGAAACACACCCUCAGGAGCCCAACUUGGGCCAAAGCAUCCCCCUGACACGCAGGGAACAUGGGAAAUUGGGGGGAUAAGAUGGAAAAUCUCUGGUUAUUCACCGGGACAAGGUAGGAGCGAUCCAGGGGUUGGGAGGUGCUCCAGCUUCAAACAAGGUGGGAGUUACCACUUGGACAAAGUGUUUGAUUGUUAUUAUGAUUAUGCCCCACCCCUGGAAGUGGUGCUCCAUCCCUGGAAGUGUCCAAGGCCAGGUUGGACGGAGCUUGGAGCACCCUGGGCCGGGGGAAGGUGUCCCAGGGGGUGGAACCGGGUGAACUUUAAGGCCCCUUCCCACCCACAUUCCAUGGUUCCAUUUGGGAGUCAUGGAUUAACACCCAGACAGCUGCUCUCCGAGGCGUCUCUGUCUGCUCCUGGCUCUCCCAUCCCGUGGGAUCAUUGAUUUUCAUGGAUGUUUGGAGGGAGGCAGCGCUCCUGGAGGGUCCAGAGGGAGGAGGAGGAGCUGUGGAAUCGGGGAGGUUACUCCACACCUUAAAUAUUUCAGUUCGACUCGAGAGGAGCAGGAAAAAAAAGGGAUGGAAAAAGCCAAGUGCUGGAGUGUUGUGACAGCAGCGUGUCCUGGCUGUUCCCAGGGAAUGGGGGGACCACGGAUCCGUGGGAAGGGAUCUGUCCCCUCCUUGGGGAUGCUGGGAGCAGCCACAGUCCUGCCUGUCCCCAACUGCUCCAGCCCCCAAGGGAAUAACUGAUUUUAGGAUCGUG